GAUGAACGCUAGCUACAGGCUUAACACAUGCAAGUCGAGGGGUAACGAGAGGGAAGCUUGCUUUCCUUGUCGACGACCGGCGCACGGGUGAGUAACGCGUAUCCAACCUGCCCCCAACUAGGGAAUAACCUUGCGAAAGUAAGACUAAUACCCUAUAAUUUCCUCAGAUGUCAUCUGACGAGGAAUAAAGAUUUAUCGGUUGUGGAUGGGGAUGCGUCUGAUUAGCUUGUUGGCGGGGUAACGGUCCACCAAGGCAACGAUCAGUAGGGGUUCUGAGAGGAAGGUCCCCCACAUUGGAACUGAGACACGGUCCAAACUCCUACGGGAGGCAGCAGUGAGGAAUAUUGGUCAAUGGGCGGAAGCCUGAACCAGCCAAGUAGCGUGCAGGAUGACGGCCCUAUGGGUUGUAAACUGCUUUUAUACAGGAAUAAAGUUAGCCACGUGUGGUUAUUUGUAGGUACUGUAUGAAUAAGGACCGGCUAAUUCCGUGCCAGCCGCCGCAGAAA
rnacentral:rRNA from 1 species